AUGAGGUUUGGAACAGACUUUGUGAAGAACAUGGAAACAUCUCUAAAUAACAUGGCCCCAACCAUCAUCAGGAGUGCAAAAGAAUGAAGUAAAAAACAUCUCUACGCCAAUCUCAUUGGAACAGCAGCGGAAACCACAGAAGGUCUGGUGAGGAAUGCUGCACUUAUGUUAUUGCAAGCAUUAUUUUAAGAAAAUCCCAGCUUCCUUUGCUGUGUAAAUAGUGAACCCAAAGGUCCCACACCAACCAUAGUGUUCAACGGCUCUCCUGAUCCUCUCAAAUCUCAAAGUAUCAACUUUAUAAUGGACAAUGUGAACAUAAUAUGUGGAAGACAUUGACAUCACAGGCUGUGGAAUGACUGUUUGCGGGUUUUUUUCUCUUCAAUGUUCAAUACCCUUUUGCCAUUAAGCACACAGUGACUUUAAUUUAUAAAAUAUAUGCUUAAAUUUAAAUACCUGUACAAAACAAAUGUACAAUCAACUUGUGUAAAUUGUCAUUCUAUUUAAUAGAUUGUUCAUGAAUUGUCUUUAAAUGCAUUGUGAUUUCUUUUCAUCAUUUCAGACACAUAACUUAAAAUUGCAUAUACUGUACAGUAUCUUUGUUUAUAAAAACAGAAAA